rnacentral:rRNA from 1 species
GACGAACGCUGGCGGCGUGCCUAAUACAUGCAAGUCGAACGCAGUGGGGACGGGUGAGUAACACGUUGGUAACCUCCCAUCAGAGGGGAUAACACUUGGAAACAGGUGCUAAACAGAAACUGAUGGAUGGACACGCGGUGCAUUAGCUAUUUGGUGAGGUAACGGCUCACCAAGGCCACGAUGCAGAGCGGACCUGAGAGGGUUAUCGGCCACACUGGGACGGAGACACGGCCCAGACUCCUACGGGAGGCAGCAGGAGGGAAACUUCGGCAAUGGACGAAGUUCUGACCGAGCAACUCCGCGUUAGUGAAGAAGGUUUUCGGAUCGUAAAACUCUGUUGUUAGAGAAGCGGUAUCUAACCAGAAAGCCACGGCUAACUACGUGCCAGCAGCCGCGGUAAUAC